GAUGAACGCUGGCGGCGUGCCUAAUACAUGCAAGUCGAGCGAACGGACGAGAAGCUUGCUUCUCUGAUGUUAGCGGCGGACGGGUGAGUAACACGUGGAUAACCUACCUAUAAGACUGGGAUAACUUCGGGAAACCGGAGCUAAUACCGGAUAAUAUUUUGAACCGCAUGGUUCAAAAGUGAAAGACGGUCUUGCUGUCACUUAUAGAUGGAUCCGCGCUGCAUUAGCUAGUUGGUAAGGUAACGGCUUACCAAGGCAACGAUGCAUAGCCGACCUGAGAGGGUGAUCGGCCACACUGGAACUGAGACACGGUCCAGACUCCUACGGGAGGCAGCAGUAGGGAAUCUUCCGCAAUGGGCGAAAGCCUGACGGAGCAACGCCGCGUGAGUGAUGAAGGUCUUCGGAUCGUAAAACUCUGUUAUUAGGGAAGAACAUAUGUGUAAGUAACUGUGCACAUCUUGACGGUACCUAAUCAGAAAGCCACGGCUAACUACGUGCCAGCAGCCGCGGUAAUACGUAGGUGGCAAGCGUUAUCCGGAAUUAUUGGGCGUAAAGCGCGCGUAGGCGGUUUUUUAAGUCUGAUGUGAAAGCCCACGGCUCAACCGUGGAGGGUCAUUGGAAACUGGAAAACUUGAGUGCAGAAGAGGAAAGUGGAAUUCCAUGUGUAGCGGUGAAAUGCGCAGAGAUAUGGAGGAACACCAGUGGCGAAGGCGACUUUCUGGUCUGUAACCGACGCUGAUGUGCGAAAGCGUGGGGAUCAAACAGGAUUAGAUACCCUGGUAGUCCACGCCGUAAACGAUGAGUGCUAAGUGUUAGGGGGUUUCCGCCCCUUAGUGCUGCAGCUAACGCAUUAAGCACUCCGCCUGGGGAGUACGACCGCAAGGUUGAAACUCAAAGGAAUUGACGGGGACCCGCACAAGCGGUGGAGCAUGUGGUUUAGUUCGAAGCAACGCGAAGAACCUUACCAAAUCUUGACAUCCUUUGACAACUCUAGAGAUAGAGCUUUCCCCUUCGGGGGACAAAGUGACAGGUGGUGCAUGGUUGUCGUCAGCUCGUGUCGUGAGAUGUUGGGUUAAGUCCCGCAACGAGCGCAACCCUUAAGCUUAGUUGCCAUCAUUAAGUUGGGCACUCUAAGUUGACUGCCGGUGACAAACCGGAGGAAGGUGGGGAUGACGUCAAAUCAUCAUGCCCCUUAUGAUUUGGGCUACACACGUGCUACAAUGGACAAUACAAAGGGCAGCGAAACCGCGAGGUCAAGCAAAUCCCAUAAAGUUGUUCUCAGUUCGGAUUGUAGUCUGCAACUCGACUACAUGAAGCUGGAAUCGCUAGUAAUCGUAGAUCAGCAUGCUACGGUGAAUACGUUCCCGGGUCU
rnacentral:rRNA from 1 species